GAUGAACGCUGGCGGCGUGCUUAACACAUGCAAGUCGAACGGAUGCAAGGGGCUUGCUCCUUGCAUUAGUGGCGGACGGGUGAGUAACGCGUGAGCAAUCUGCCCAUAUCUGGGGGAUAACAGUUAGAAAUGACUGCUAAUACCGCAUAUGACCACAGGGAGGCAUCUCCCAGGGGUGAAAGAUUUAUCGGAUAUGGAUGAGCUCGCGUCCCAUUAGGUAGUUGGUGAGGUAACGGCCCACCAAGCCGACGAUGGGUAGCCGGCCUUAGAGGGCGAUCGGCCACAUUGGAACUGAGAUACGGUCCAA
rnacentral:rRNA from 1 species